UCUCCGUUGGUGAACCAGCGGAGGGAUCAUUACAGGACUCGCAAGACUCCUACAACCCUGUGAACUUAACUAUAAGCACGUUGCUUCGGCGAGUGUCUCGGAGGGGGUUCUCCCUCCCCGAGACGCUAAACCCGCCGGCAGCCUACUAUACUCUGUCUCUUUGCGUUGGCAUCUCGAGUACAAUCAAACAAGUUAAAACUUUCAACAACGGAUCUCUUGGUUCUG
rnacentral:misc_RNA from 1 species